UAACGCGUGGGUAACCUGCCUUAUACUGGGGGAUAACAGCCAGAAAUGACUGCUAAUACCGCAUAAGCGCACAGAACCGCAUGGUUCGGUGUGAAAAACUCCGGUGGUAUAAGAUGGACCCGCGUUGGAUUAGCUAGUUGGCAGGGCAGCGGCCUACCAAGGCGACGAUCCAUAGCCGGCCUGAGAGGGUGAACGGCCACAUUGGGACUGAGACACGGCCCAGACUCCUACGGGAGGCAGCAGUGGGGAAUAUUGCACAAUGGGGGAAACCCUGAUGCAGCGACGCCGCGUGAAGGAAGAAGUAUCUCGGUAUGUAAACUUCUAUCAGCAGGGAAGACAAUGACGGUACCUGACUAAGAAGCCCCGGCUAACUACGUGCCAGCAGCCGCGGUAAUACGUAGGGGGCAAGCGUUAUCCGGAUUUACUGGGUGUAAAGGGAGCGUAGACGGCGCAGCAAGUCUGAUGUGAAAGGCGGGGGCUUAACCCCUGGACUGCAUUGGAAACUGCUGUGCUUGAGUGCCGGAGGGGUAAGCGGAAUUCCUAGUGUAGCGGUGAAAUGCGUAGAUAUUAGGAGGAACACCAGUGGCGAAGGCGGCUUACUGGACGGUAACUGACGUUGAGGCUCGAAAGCGUGGGGAGCAAACAGGAUUAGAUACCCUGAUAGUCCACGCCGUAAACGAUGAAUACUAGGUGU
rnacentral:rRNA from 1 species